UUAGACAGGUCUCAUUAGAGCUCUACAUAAUUUUAGUGAGUUUAUAAAUAUUUGCCAAUAUUAACAUCAAUAGUAAUAAAGAAUUUUAUACUACAAUUUAAAUUAUCCGAUAAUCGAAUAAUAAAAAUGUCAAAAGUAUUUUUGGUGUUGAUUUUGUCAGUCGUAUUGUUAGCUUCUGUGAACUUUGUUACAGCAGAAGGAUGCUAUGGUAAAUCGUGCCGGCAAACAGAAGGUAACGGUUGCUGUCCUGGAUAUGCAUGUACUUCUACCCCGACUAAGGAUGGAAGCUGCGUUACGAUUGCAGAAUUUAGGGGAAAGGGCAAGCUUGCUUAACUAAUUCAAAAUUUGUCAAUUUUUUUUGCUAAAUAAAGUUUUUUUUUUACUA